AAGUAGCUUGCUACUUGCCGGCGAGCGGCGGACGGGUGAGUAAUGUCUGGGAAACUGCUGAUGGAGGGGGAUAACUACUGGAAACGGUAGCUAAUACCGCAUAACGUCGCAAGACCAAAGAGGGGGACUUUCGGGCCUCUUGCCAUCAGAUGUGCCCAGAUGGGAUUAGCUAGUAGGUGGGGUAACGGCUCACCUAGGCGACGAUCCCUAGCUGGUCUGAGAGGAUGACCAGCCACACUGGAACUGAGACACGGUCCAGACUCCUACGGGAGGCAGCAGUGGGGAAUAUUGCACAAUGGGCGCAAGCCUGAUGCAGCCAUGCCGCGUGUAUGAAGAAGGCCUUCGGGUUGUAAAGUACUUUCAGCGGGGAGGAAGGCGUUGAGGUUAAUAACCUCAGCGAUUGACGUUACCCGCAGAAGAAGCACCGGCUAACUCCGUGCCAGCAGCCGCGGUAAUACGGAGGGUGCAAGCGUUAAUCGGAAUUACUGGGCGUAAAGCGCACGCAGGCGGUCUGUCAAGUCGGAUGUGAAAUCCCCGGGCUCAACCUGGGAACUGCAUUCGAAACUGGCAGGCUAGAGUCUUGUAGAGGGGGGUAGAAUUCCAGGUGUAGCGGUGAAAUGCGUAGAGAUCUGGAGGAAUACCGGUGGCGAAGGCGGCCCCCUGGACAAAGACUGACGCUCAGGUGCGAAAGCGUGGGGAGCAAACAGGAUUAGAUACCCUGGUAGUCCACGCCGUAAACGAUGUCGACUUGGAGGUUGUGCCCUUGAGGCGUGGCUUCCGGAGCUAACGCGUUAAGUCGACUGCCUGGGGAGUACGGCCGCAAGGUUAAAACUCAAAUGAAUUGACGGGGGCCCGCACAAGCGGUGGAGCAUGUGGUUUAAUUCGAUGCAACGCGAAGAACCUUACCUACUCUUGACAUCCAGAGAACUUAGCAGAGAUGCUUUGGUGCCUUCGGGAACUCUGAGACAGGUGC
rnacentral:rRNA from 1 species